rnacentral:rRNA from 1 species
UACGUAGGGUGCAAGCGUUAAUCGGAAUUACUGGGCGUAAAGCGCGCGCAGGCGGUUUGGCAAGUCAGAUGUGAAAUCCCCGGGCUCAACCUGGGAACUGCAUUUGUGACUGCACGGCUGGAGUGCGGCAGAGGGGGAUGGAAUUCCGCGUGUAGCAGUGAAAUGCGUAGAUAUGCGGAGGAACACCGAUGGCGAAGGCAAUCCCCUGGGCCUGCACUGACGCUCAUGCACGAAAGCGUGGGGAGCAAACAGG